GGGGGUGUAGCUCAGUGGUAGAGCACCGGCCUUUUAAGCCGUAGGUCCUGGGUUCGAGUCCCAGCACCCUCA
rnacentral:tRNA from 1 species